rnacentral:sRNA from 1 species
AAGAAAGAUGUGGUGUUAACAUUCUACAUCCACUUGACUAGAUGAAGAAAUCCAGCUGACUGGUACAGAAUUAUUUCGGGUGUCUCUAUGAGGAUUUUUUUCUGAGCGAUAAACCUUUGAAUUGAUAAACAGAGUGAAGAAGAUAGCCUUCAUCAAAGCAGAUGGACAUUACCCAGCAUUUUGUGAGUUCAAACAGAAUGAAAAGACAGGAAAAGCAUAGACCUUUUUCAUGUGAACGGAGUUCAGACAUCCAUCUUACCCUGCCCUUGGACAGUAGCAUCACUCCUAGCUCUUGAGACAUGUGCCAGACCUUAUGUCACAAGUGUCCUGGUUCUCGGCCCUUUGGACUCACACGGAGACUUGUGCCAUGGACACCCCUGUAGGUUUAGGCAGAACUACACCAUAGACUUUUUGAGGGGGGUCAGCUUCCCUGUAGAAAACUGCAGGAUGCCUCAGUCCCAUGGUCAUGUGAGAUAGUCUCACCAGGCAAAUAUUUUUCUCCAUCUCUGUCUAAAUCCCCAAUGGUUUUGGUUCUCUGGAGACUCUUAGCAUGAGUCAGCAUGUCAUAGGUAUGCACCACCAUUUCAUCAGUGUGGCUAUGAUGAAGUUGAUGCCAACCUUAGGCACCUGAAGAAGCAGUGUGAGGCAUCCUGUGUCAGUCAGGUCACCUUUUCCCUUGAAGGGGUGAUUCAAAGUGCAAGGUGAUUACCAUGGUGUCUUCUUUGCUAAACUUGAUAUAUAGUUCUAAUACAGGAGUUAUAGUAUAAUAACUCCUGCUUGAGUUACCUUUCAAGUUGCUAUCCUCAAAUACCCAACACAGAGCAGCUAAAUGGAUGGGGGGCUUAUCUUGGCUUACACUUUUAGGAGUCCUAGUCCUAGUGGAGAUGGAGUAAACUAUCUGACCUCCCUCAAUGAAUGGCUGCGAUGCAGAAGAGUAAGCCAGAUAAACCUUUACCUCCCCAAGUUGUGUUUGGUUGUGGUGUUUUAUCACAGCAAGCACCCAGAUGACCCAUCUUGCCAGCUCCCCCACUCCCCUGUUUGGUUUUUGAAACAAGGUAUCACAACAGAAAUCUGACUGGCUUGGAAUCUGGCUGUGUAGACCAGGCUGGCCUCCAACUCAGAGUUAUGCCUGCCUCUGUCUCUUGAGUGCUAAGAUUACAGAUAUGCAAUAUCUGUCUCAUUUUGAAAAUUUUCAUAUUAGAAUAUUGGAAAGGCUCAGGUUUGGAAGUGCCUCUAAAGAUCGUUCAUGUAUUUAAAAACUUUUAAUGCCCAAUGUGACACUGAGAGUUGGGACCUUUGAGAGGUGACUAAUUAGGUAGUGUGCUCUUUGCUUCAUGGGUGGAUGAACAUCAUGAUCACCUGGGUUGGGUGUUUGUUAUGAGUCUAGAUUUCAGUCCCUUCCUGCAUGGUCAUGCUAAUGUGCUCUCACACUUAUCUAGCUUCCCUCUUGGGGAGACAAGAGAAGGCCCCUGUCACAAUGUGGGUUACUUGACUUUGAACUUCAUAGGCUCCAUAAAUGUGAGACAUAAGUUUCUGCUCUUCAUAGAUUCUUCACGUUUCUGAUAGUCUGUCUGUUAGAGUAACAUGCAAAGAAUCCAGACAAGGAGAAGCAGACUGGUGUUUACUGGUGAUUUCAGAAGGAUUAAAAUGACCUUAAAACUCAGUUACUAAGUCAAGGUGGGGGCACUCGAUGGUUAAAUGUGACUUGCAGGAGUUUUGAGCAUUACUUUUUGGAGUGAGGUGUGCAGAAAUAACAUAAUUAUCGUAUUUCUAUUUCUAACAACGUCUAGCUCCUGGCCUUCACUGAACCUCCCAAUUACUUUUUGGUUCUGUAUCAUCUUUAGAAAACUAUGAAGAAUGCCAAUGGUGUGAUUAUUAAAGGGUCAGCACCCCCUAAUUUGAUUCCUCUGCUCAGGCAAAUGCUUUUGUAAUUUGUCCUUAGCAAUUAGAAUUUAAUCACCUUGGCUAAAUCAAUAUGCAAUAAAGAAACAAGCAGGCCUUUUUAAGUGGUCUAUUUCCAUAAUGACUAACAGCAUACUAGUCAUGUUUCUGUCCUGCAGAGGUCUCUGGCUGUCAAUCCAAUACCUUCUUUUGCACAGUGUAUCGAUCACAGCCAUUGAGAGCUCAUUCCAAUCGUCUUGAUGUUUGAGUCAAGCCAUAAUCAUUUCGACCACAAUACCCUUUUCCUAAAAUUAAAAUGACUUGGCCAAGUCCACAGUUUCCUAUGGUUCAGGCUUUCCCCUAGUUUUCUUAAUUAAGUGGGAAUUUCUUUGAAACAGUUUUCAAAAUAAAUAACUUCCCAAGAGGCAUGUGAAAUGCUAACAGAGAUCUCUGUUGCCAGGCUGCAGAAGACAGAUGUGGGAAUGGAAGGCCGAUGGUGCUUUAAUCUCUGGUAACUCUUGUCUUAUUUUCACUCAGGAUCCAAGGAUUCUUUCUCUGGUCACCUUCCCCAGCAGACAUUGAGAUCUACUUUACUAAGGAGUGAACUGAGGCUUGGAGAGCCCGUGGAAGGUUCCAGAAGAGGGAAGUCAUCGUACAGAGCUCAUGACACUGCACAGCAGCCUCUCAGCAGCAUUCCAAACUUCCAGUCUUUGACAGUGAUGCAGAUUAUGCAGAUUUCAUGCUCACCGAGAAGGAAAUAAAUACAGAUAAAACCAGGCCCUGUGUGACUGCAGGAGGCCUGGGACGUGAAAGCCAUCGUUCUUUUGAAUUGUCUCCUCCUUCUCACACCCAUGAAGCUUCCACCAAUUUUGUAGGCCGUGCAUUCUAUGCUACUGAUAAGAAUUCUCUAAGUGCCCUGGGGUUGUUGUAAUUAAAGUACAUAACUUAUCUCUUUCUACUUGGCACUUUGUUAAUUAAGAAAAGAGAACAUUAAAAACCAGACACUUAUUAGAAUCAUAAUAGUCAAACCACAUACUGAAUGCAAAACAAAUUCUGGGAUAUUCCACAUUAAGGAAAAAAAAAUACAAAUCUUGUUGGUCAACAAAAGGAUGCCCUUUAUUUUAUAAAGUUCAUAUAUGUCUGAGUUUUUAAAGACAUUAUGGUUUUCCUGCACAUUGUUUCUCUGAUGAGCAAUAUGAUAUAGUUGGAAAUAUCUGUGGUCAUGUGAGCUGGACAUAAUACUUCCAUUGUUAGGAAAGUCAUUUAAUCUUGUAAGAGCCCAUGAGUCUCAACAAAAUAAGGAAUGAGGGUUGGGGAGAUACUUAAAUCAAGAAAGUGCUUACCACAUGAACAUGAGGACCUGAGUUUAAUUUCCAAAAUCCAUAGAAGAAAAAGUUAGAAAUGGUGGUGACCACUUGUAAUUUGGGUACUGGGAAGGCAGAGAUUGUCAGAUCUUUGAGGCUCAUUGGACAGUCAACUAAGGUGACUUGGUGAGAUCCAGGUUCCAGAGAGAGAUUGUCUCAAUGAAUAAACUGGACAGUGUAUAUAAAA